UAUAUGCACACACACACAAAUAAUAUGUGUGUAUGUAUGUGUGUGUAUAUAUAUAUAUAUAUGUAUAUAUAUAUAUAUAUACACACACAUACAUACACACAUAUUAUAUGUGUGUGUGUGCAUAUA